rnacentral:rRNA from 1 species
AAUGAACGCUGGCGGCGUGCUUUACACAUGCAAGUCGAGCGAGGCGGCCCGCAAGGGCCAGUCGAGCGGCGAACGGGUGAGUAACACGUGGAUAACCUGCCCUGAGGUGCGGAACAACCAGGGGAAACUCUGGCUAAUACCGCAUGAUACCGAGAGGUCAAAGGUGGCUCGCAAGGGCUAUCGCCACAGGAGGGGUCCGCGUCCGAUUAGCUAGUUGGUAGGGUAAUGGCCACCAAGGCGACGAUCGGUAGCCGGCCUGAGAGGGUGAUCGGCCACACUGGAACUGAGACACGGUCCAGACUCCUACGGGAGGCAGCAGUGGGGAAUUUUGCGCAAUGGGCUAACGCCUGACGCAGCAACGCCGCGUGGAGGAUGAAGGUCUUUGGAUUGUAAACUCCUGUCAGCAAGGGAAAAGACAACUCGGCUAAUACGCCGGGGAGUUGAUUGUACCUGCAGAGGAGGCCCCGGCUAACUCUGUGCCAGCCGCCGCU